ACGAACGCUGGCGGCGCGCCUAACACAUGCAAGUCGAACGGAGAUGCAUGACGGAAGCCUUCGGGUGGAAGAUAUGUAUCUUAGUGGCGGACGGGUGAGUAACACGUGAGCAACCUGCCUUUCAGAGGGGGAUAACGUCUGGAAACGGACGCUAAUACCGCAUAACAUACAUUUUUCGCAUGGGAGAUGUAUCAAAGGAGCAAUCCGCUGAGAGAUGGGCUCGCGUCCGAUUAGCUAGUUGGAGUGGUAACGGCACACCAAGGCAACGAUCGGUAGCCGGACUGAGAGGUUGAUCGGCCACAUUGGGACUGAGACACGGCCCAGACUCCUACGGGAGGCAGCAGUGGGGGAUAUUGCACAAUGGGGGAAACCCUGAUGCAGCGACGCCGCGUGAGGGAAGAAGGUUUUCGGAUUGUAAACCUCUGUCCAUAGUGACGAUAAUGACGGUAGCUAUGGAGGAAGCCACGGCUAACUACGUGCCAGCAGCCGCGGUAAUACGUAGGUGGCAAGCGUUGUCCGGAAUUACUGGGUGUAAAGGGAGCGUAGGCGGGACUGUAAGUUGGAUGUAUAAACUAUCGGCUCAACCGGUAAUCGCAUUCAAAACUGCAGUUCUUGAGUGAAGUAGAGGCAGGCGGAAUUCCUAGUGUAGCGGUGAAAUGCGUAGAUAUUAGGAGGAACACCAGUGGCGAAGGCGGUCUGCUGGGCUUUAACUGACGCUGAGGCUCGAAAGCGUGGGUAGCAAACAGGAUUAGAUACCCUGGUAGUCCACGCCGUAAACGAUGAUUACUAGGUGUGGGGGUCAUAAGACUUCCGUGCCGGAGUUAACACAAUAAGUAAUCCACCUGGGGAGUACGACCGCAAGGUUGAAACUCAAAGGAAUUGACGGGGGCCCGCACAAGCAGUGGAGUAUGUGGUUUAAUUCGAAGCAACGCGAAGAACCUUACCAGGUCUUGACAUCUGACGCAUAUCUAAGAGAUUAGAGAAAUCCCUUCGGGGACGUCAAGACAGGUGGUGCAUGGUUGUCGUCAGCUCGUGUCGUGAGAUGUUGGGUUAAGUCCCGCAACGAGCGCAACCCUUACCGAUAGUUGCUACGCAAGAGAACUCUAUCGGGACUGCCGUUGACAAAACGGAGGAAGGUGGGGAUGACGUCAAAUCAUCAUGCCCCUUAUGACCUGGGCUACACACGUACUACAAUGGCCGCUAACAACGAGAAGCGAAGUCGCGAGGCAGAGCAAAUCUUUUAAAAGCGGUCUCAGUUCGGAUUGCAGGCUGCAACCCGCCUGCAUGAAGCCGGAAUUGCUAGUAAUCGCGGAUCAGAAUGCCGCGGUGAAUACGUUCCCGGGCCUUGUACACACCGCCCGUCACACCAUGAGAGUUGGCAACACCCGAAGUCAGUAGUCUAACCGCAAGGAGGACGCUGCCGAAGGUGGGGUUGAUGAUUGGGGUG
rnacentral:rRNA from 1 species